AGCCCUUACUUGUGUACUUGAGAAUAUUUAUAAGUAUGCAUGUAUUUGUGCAUUUCUGUGUGUGGCACACAAUAGCACAAAAGUGAUUUCUCCCAAGACCCUCUAAUGAACAUUUUUAACUGAUGAACAAUCUGGGGAAAAGCUGGGACAAUUGGUCAGUAGGUUAAAAGAGAAGAGCUUGUUUUUGUGCAACUCCAGAAGCGAAGCACAGUUAAAAGCACAGAACAAAAAAACACCAAAAGACCAAGAGCAACAAUAGGGUGUUUUCCUUCCUGUAUGUUUGUUACAGUUCUUGCUGGAAAAAGAAAGAAAGCCAAAAGAAAAUGUGGCACACGGGUCACUAUGUUCUUUGGGAAUCAGAAAUAGACUGAGUGGGCUUAGUAGGCAAACACACAUUUCACAAACUUCUCAUCACAAAGCCAAUAUUUGUUCAGGAGAGAAUUCUUCCUUUGGGUAAUUAAUAUUUUCUUGCUAUUUAUUGCUCACUGGAUGGAAGUUUUGGAAUGUGUAAGGAAGGGGGGAAAGCUGGCAGUGUUCCUCGCAGUUAUUACAUUGCCGUGGAGGCCUCCAACAAAAAUCACAGCACCGAGUGUACAUUCCUUUCAUAAGCAAAAUGGAUCAUCAGGCGAUGGAAUGGCUUCAAAGGAAUGCGUGCAUCAUGCCUUUGACAUUUUGCUAGAGCUCAAGCAGGAGGGGAAAAAAGAGCUAUGGAGAAGCACUUUCCUUGUGCCGUGCAUUUGUUCUUCCCUGUCUGCUGUGAAGGAAGAUUUCCACUUGGCACUUUGUAGACUGGAACCUCAGCCCUUCCUCUUCCAAGCCACACGUUCGAGAAAAGCCAGAGAGUUUACAUUAGAGAGGAACAGGAGGUGAAGGAAAUUGUAAACUCAAGUGAGAUGUUAUGGGGCAGGUUAGAUGCUGGUGGGUAGACUAACAAAAGUGGAAUGUUAUUGCUAAAAUCUGGCUCCUUCCAAAAAAACUCUUAACGUUGUCAAAGCCUCGAGUUUAGUCUGCUAGUUUCAGACAUUCCAACAUAUGCUUCUUAUUUUGUUUUUAAUACUUACAGUCCAUCCAGAGACAAUUCAUGGCAACCGUGGCUAUUGUAACACUAUAUAAAACAUGGGGUUUGAUGACAACUGAUAUGAAGUGUGAUUGGAAAAAAUAAUGCCCCCUGGUAAUGAUAAUAUUUCCUGCUCAGAUUGGUCUCACGAUAAUAGGUCUGCUCCAGUGGUGUUUGCAGAGUUAUGUACAGGACUCUGGUAUUACAUUACAGCUGCUGCCUGGUUAUACAUCCGUGUGAAUAGGAGGAAAUAAAUACACGUGAAGAAAUACCAGAAGGACCAAAAAAUGGGGCCCAACAUUGGCAAUUUCUUGUUUGGGUCUUGGGGUGGGUGAAGCAUUGGCACUUGGACCUGACCAACCAUGGAAGCAUCUCAUCUCGAUCUGAGAGGAGGGAAGAAAUGCAACCUCUGGAGCAUGCCCAGGCUCUGGGCCCUGGGAACUUGGCAGGCUGCUGGAGAGGUCAGAAAGAGCCUGGGGCAGAAAGCUUCACUCUGAGAUGCGAGUGAAUGUGGAUGAGGAAUUCUAGAUGAGUCACAGCGGUCGGAGCGGACCCAGAGGAGAUGGAGGCGAGGUCAACCACUGUGCUUUGCCGCAUCCUUUCUGUCGGAGGAGACAUCUGCUAAAACCAGCUGUGGCAGCGGCUUGUGAGUGAUGGAAGGCUGGACUCAAGACUGCAAUUCAGCUCAUUAAAAGCACCCCGGGGGCUGCUAUGGUUAUUUGCCCCCUGUAGUGCUGGCAUUUUUCAGGCCAGGUCAGAACUCAUUGCUCCAGGCUCUGCGCUCUCUCCAGGCUCUCCCCAUCCUUUGUCCGAAGGCACGUCUUUAGUCUGUUCCUCGUUUUAUCCACCACCUCGAAGGCAGAGACCUGUGUCUGAGCAGACUCCCAUCCCCUGCCCUGAACAAAUGUGGUCAGCGUGAAACGAAGCCCAGAGCGGCAGCGCGUUCCCCUGUGAGCAGACGGAAAGUUUCAAAGGCACAAAGGGUAUUUAGGCACUGACUUCAAAGUCAGUAAGUUGGAUGCUGAAAAAAAAUCUCCCCCGUAGCCUUUAUGUCAUGCCACUUAAUAAGUAAUUAAAAGCUCAAAAAUCAUGAGUCUGCUGCUUUCAUUACUUCCUAAAGC
rnacentral:lncRNA from 1 species